rnacentral:rRNA from 1 species
GAUGAACGCUGGCGGCGUGCCUAAUACAUGCAAGUCGAGCGAACGGACGAGAAGCUUGCUUUUCUGAUGUUAGCGGCGGACGGGUGAGUAACACGUGGAUAACCUACCUAUAAGACUGGGAUAACUUCGGGAAACCGGAGCUAAUACCGGAUAAUAUUUUGAACCGCAUGGUUCAAAAGUGAAAGACGGCCUUGCUGUCACUUAUAGAUGGAUCCGCGCUGCAUUAGCUAGUUGGUAAGGUAACGGCUUACCAAGGCAACGAUGCAUAGCCGACCUGAGAGGGUGAUCGGCCACACUGGAACUGAGACACGGUCCAGACUCCUACGGGAGGCAGCAGUAGGGAAUCUUCCGCAAUGGGCGAAAGCCUGACGGAGCAACGCCGCGUGAGUGAUGAAGGUCUUCGGAUCGUAAAGCUCUGUUAUUAGGGAAGAACAUAUGUGUAAGUAACUGUGCACAUCUUGACGGUACCUAAUCAGAAAGCCACGGCUAACUACGUG